rnacentral:rRNA from 1 species
UACGUAGGGGGCAAGCGUUGUCCGGAGUUACUGGGCGUAAAGCGCACGCAGGCGGUCGGCUGCGUCGGUGGUGACAGUCCUCGGCUUACCUGAGGAAGCGCUGCCGAAACGAGCCGACUUGAGGGCCAGAGAGGGAGACGGAACUCCGGGUGGAGCGGUGAAAUGCGUAGAGAUCCGGAAGAACACCAAAGGCGAAGGCAGUCUCCUGGCUGGUUCCUGACGCUCAGGUGCGAAAGCUAGGGGAGCAAACAGG